GAUGAACGCUGGCGGCGUGCCUAAUACAUGCGAGUCGAGCGAACAGACGAGGAGCUUGCUCCUCUGACGUUAGCGGCGGACGGGUGAGUAACACGUGGAUAACCUACCUAUAAGACUGGGAUAACUUCGGGAAACCGGAGCUAAUACCGGAUAAUAUAUUGAACCGCAUGGUUCAAUAGUGAAAGACGGUUUUGCUGUCACUUAUAGAUGGAUCCGCGCCGCAUUAGCUAGUUGGUAAGGUAACGGCUUACCAAGGCAACGAUGCGUAGCCGACCUGAGAGGGUGAUCGGCCACACUGGAACUGAGACACGGUCCAGACUCCUACGGGAGGCAGCAGUAGGGAAUCUUCCGCAAUGGGCGAAAGCCUGACGGAGCAACGCCGCGUGAGUGAUGAAGGUCUUCGGAUCGUAAAACUCUGUUAUUAGGGAAGAACAAAUGUGCAAGUAACUAUGCACGUCUUGACGGUACCUAAUCAGAAAGCCACGGCUAACUACGUG
rnacentral:rRNA from 1 species